rnacentral:sRNA from 1 species
AAUGCUAGGGCUGAAUAUGACAGCCAUUCCACCCCUGAAGUCAAGCAUUUUAUCACAAGGCAACCAUGCAAUGAAAGGAAUCAGUAGCAUGCGUCAGAGAAAACAAUCCAUGACUUUAGCCAUGUCGGAGCACUUGAUAGGCAGUGGUGCACUGGGAGUGCUAGUGUUUGCUUCUGUAAUGUUUUUGUAUAUAUAAGAAAGAUUUGUACAGACUCCACCAUACACAAAAUGUCAGCUGGCAGGAUUGGUGAAGUGAGACAAUUCUGACUUGAUAAUUACUGAUGCAUUAAUCUUCUAUAUGUCCAGGUCAAAUAACAUGAAGGAAAAUUGUAUGACCAGAAGUCAACAUGUCGCUGGGACAUUAUGAAUAAGUUUUGAAAGUAUUUAGUUCAGAUGAUGUUCCUACAUGAAGUCCUAUCAAGUACAUGGAUGAAGACUUGAAUAGAAAACUCAACAGGGCAUUGGGACAUUGGGAUUAAGGCCAUAAUGAUAACAAGACAGAAAAAUUUGAAUCAGUAAUUGAACAAUGAAACGAAGGAAUACCAAUUUCCUGGCCAUUCU